CUUUCCAAGAGUCAUAGUGUUCAGAUGCACAUACUCCCUGAAGGGAAGGAGGAGGCAGUAGAGACAUGUUUAACUCAGCAGAUUUUCUGCUUAACUGUCCACUGAUUCACUCUUCAAGUUUCUUCCAGUUAUGGUUCUGCAGGAAGGUGGCAAAAAGGUAACAGAAGAGGCCAACUGGAUCAAGGAUGGAGCAGGCUUCUCUUCAGCAGGAUUUGCAUUGUCCACCUCACUCACCAAGUGUGCUCAGGGCAUUUGCAUGAAGGUCUGAGUAGAAGUGUAAAGCGGAAUUUCCUCUCAGUGAGCUGCAAGUAUAAUUGGGGAGUAUGACAGGCCAAAGAGAUGAAGAUAUCAAUAUAACGUCACAAUCCCUCAGGUGUCUUCCAAUCUCCAGAACAAAGGAGAAGAUUUUACAAGACCUGAACCACACAAACCCAAAGUGGGAAGGCAGAGCCCAGAGUCGUUCUCCCAAGGGCAACCCUGCUACAGGGUGGCCACAGUCAAGGCCAGUGGGUAUCUCUGAGACUCCAAAGGGAAGACAGUCCUAUCACUUUUAGUUAAGGUCAGUUUCUUUUUUCUUUUCUUUUCUUUUCUUUUUCUUUUUUCUUUUUUCUUUUUUCUUUUGUCUUUUUUUUUUUUUUUGG
rnacentral:lncRNA from 1 species